GGGUGCGAUCAUACCAGCACUAAUGCACCGGAUCCCAUUAGAACUACGCAGUUAAGCUUGCUUGGGCGAGUGUAGUACUAGGAUGGGUGACCUCCUGGGAAGUCCUCGUGUUGCACCCC
rfam:Corchorus capsularis cultivar CVL-1 contig15104, whole genome shotgun sequence.